AACAAUCAGCAGGAAUCGCUUCAUUAGUGCACACGGUCAAUUUACGCGUUGAGAGAGAAAAUGAAGCAUCAUUUGUGAGAAAUUGGACGAAUAAGAGGCGACCAAAAUUAAAAAUUAGGCUUACAUCAUAUAUAUCUUGAGGCAUCCAUUGGGAUUCCACGACAAUUUCUGAGAAGUUGCCGCUGCGGAAGAGAUUACAUAAAAGAGGAUCGUCUAUAUAUAUAUUCAGGAAGAUUGUGAGAAUCUUUUCUGCCUGAAUUAUUGAGUCAUCGUGGUUUUCAUUGGAUGAAGGGAACUACAUUGACAACAGUAAAUGGAAAACUUAUGUUUUGGAAUCACUUGAAUUUUUUUUAAAUUAAGAUUCAUUUUUGGAGCGAGAACAUACAAACAAUCAAGAAAAGAUAUAAGAAAUAAUCGACGAGGAAGCAGUAGAUGAAAAGAUGUUUUUUAAGAAAACUCAAUCGUAAUUUGCAAAAUAAUAUUCAGUUUCUAAAUGAAACAAAUAUUAUCUAAAUCACAAAAUCGACUAAUUUUAUUUCAAUUUUUUUAAAUUUAAGAACUAAUGUGUGGUGAAAAAAGGAUUUAU